AGCAGACUUUGGAAAAGAUAACAGCUAGAAAGAGUCCACCGUGAUCCACAGUGCAGAAGCCCAGCUUUUUGCAACAGAAAGGACUAGGAAAAGAGCUUAUGUUGACUGGAGUAUGAACCCAGAAUCUUGUGCAUCCUAAGAAGGAAUUCUACCACUCAGCGGGGUCCCUCGGUUGACUGAAGCAUCGAAAAGAUAAAGGUGAUAUUUAGAGGAACCUUUUGGAAAACUAAGAAGAGCUAGGGUGAUCGAUUUCAGAGAAAGAUGUGGAAUAGAGCUUCAGAACCAAACCAUCCUGGUGGACUCAUUGUUUGGUAGAGCACAGCCACAGACAGGACUCAAUUGUGUUCUCAAUGGCUCCUUCCCUCUGUGUCUCCUAACUCUUUUCAAGAUCAGCCAUCUUCAUCUUCCUCAAUCCAGGUUCCUGGGAAGUUACUGUUUAUCCAAUGACCAUCUUCUCUCCUUGUAUUGUCUGCCUCAGGCUGUUGUCAAUGCUGUGCGAGCUCCAGACUACAGAGAUGGUCCUGGGCUUCUGUUUGGUGUUUGUACUACACCCAGGACUGAGAACGGUGCUUCUCUAGGUCCACACUGCUUAUGCAAGUAAUAUGGUUUAUAUGUAAAACAUUUUAUUUCAAGGAAUCUGGAAGUUUGGCACAUACUAAUCAGACACACACUAAUUUGUGGCCAGCCUCAAACAAAAAUGCUGACGGCCUCCAUUGGGAGACAUCACUCACGUUAGUGCAUUUUUGUAUUGCUAGAGAAAGCAACACACUUGAGUAUCUCCUCACAAAGGGAGAGGACGUAGACUCUUGUGCGUGGAUUUAUCUAGAUUCUGCCUAGGAUCUGACUGUGUGCCUUUGUCAUUACAUCACUGUAGAAGCUCUUAGCCAUGAGCCCAACUGUGUGCUGAGUCCCAAGCAUCCUAGAAAGUCUCUGCAUAUACGGUCGGUCUUGAGCAUCUUGACACAUACCACUGUAACAAAUGAAUCCAUUUAAUUGUUUAUGAGGGAUGGAGAGAGAGUCAUAAUUUAUGUUCUUCCCAGCUUAUGGAUGGUCUAUAGCAAUGGUUCUCAAUUUGGACUGCAAAGCAGAAUAUUCCAUAAUGCCUACAAAAAAUUAGAUCCCAAUUAAGAAUAAGUAGAUUUUUAGACUUAGUAUAGGGCCUUUGUUUUAAAGUUCUGAGGUGAUUCUUUUGUGCAGGGUGGUGACCAAUGGUCCUAAUUUAUUUUCUUCUAAAGAGCUUGAGCCGGCAACUUCCUGUAGGAGGAGUCUGUAGGUUUGGGAGGAAUUCACCUAGUACACUGCACAUUUCAUAUUUUUUCAUUUUUUUCAUGCAUUUAAUGUUUGCAUACUGAAACAAAUAAUUGGUUUGUUUACUUGAGUUUGUAAGCAAUGUUCUUGGAAGAAUGUCAUUUUAGGGUCCUUGUUAGAGUCAAAUUCACAAAUUCCUGAAACGUAUACAACCAACUGCGCAAUAUUUUGCCAUUAACCCACUUUUCUGAACUUAUGAAUGCAUUGUGUAUUGUGAAAUAAACAGUCACAUCUUCA